rnacentral:rRNA from 1 species
GUGGGGAAUAUUGGACAAUGGGCGAAAGCCUGAUCCAGCCAUGCCGCGUGUGUGAAGAAGGUCUUCGGAUUGUAAAGCACUUUAAGUUGGGAGGAAGGGCAGUAAGUUAAUACCUUGCUGUUUUGACGUUACCAACAGAAUAAGCACCGGCUAACUUCGUGCCAGCAGCCGCGGUAAUACGAAGGGUGCAAGCGUUAAUCGGAAUUACUGGGCGUAAAGCGCGCGUAGGUGGUUUUGUAAGUUGGAGGUGAAAUCCCCGGGCUCAACCUGGGAACUGCCUCCAAAACUGCAUGACUAGAGUACGGUAGAGGGUAGUGGAAUUUCCUGUGUAGCGGUGAAAUGCGUAGAUAUAGGAAGGAACACCAGUGGCGAAGGCGACUACCUGGACUGAUACAGACACUGAGGUGCGAAAGCGUGGGGAGCAAACAGGAUUAGAUACCCCGGUAGUCC